rnacentral:rRNA from 1 species
UACAGAGGUCCCAAGUGUUGUUCGGAUUCACUGGGCGUAAAGGGUGCGUAGGCGGUCGGGUAAGUCUGACGUGAAAUCUUCAAGCUCAACUUGGAAACUGCGUCGGAUACUAUUCGGCUAGAGGAAUGGAGGGGAGACUGGAAUACUUGGUGUAGCAGUGAAAUGCGUAGAUAUCAAGUGGAACACCAGUGGCGAAGGCGAGUCUCUGGACAUUUCCUGACGCUGAGGCACGAAAGCCAGGGGAGCAAACGGG